GACAGAGGGUGCAAACGUUGCUCGGAAUCACUGGGCGUAAAGGGCGUGUAGGCGGGUAGAUAAGUCGGGCGUGAAAUCCCUAGGCUCAACCUAGGAACUGCACUCGAAACUGUUUAUCUUGAGUGCCGGAGAGGAAAGCGGAAUUCCUGGUGUAGAGGUGAAAUUCGUAGAUAUCAGGAGGAACGACCGGUGGCGAAGGCGGGUCUCUGGGCCGUAACUGACGCUGAGGAGCGAAGGCGUGGGGAGCGAACAGG
rnacentral:rRNA from 1 species